CACGUAGGGCGCGAGCGUUGUCCGGAAUUAUUGGGCGUAAAGAGCUCGUAGGCGGUUCGUCGCGUCGGCUGUGAAAACCCGGAGCUCAACUCCGGGCCUGCAGUCGAUACGGGCGGACUCGAGUUCGGCAGGGGAGACUGGAAUUCCUGGUGUAGCGGUGAAAUGCGCAGAUAUCAGGAGGAACACCGGUGGCGAAGGCGGGUCUCUGGGCCGAUACUGACGCUGAGGAGCGAAAGCGUGGGGAGCGAACAGG
rnacentral:rRNA from 1 species